rnacentral:rRNA from 1 species
AACGUAGGUACCGAGCGUUAUCCGGAUUUACUGGGCGUAAAGCGCGUUCAGGCGGUUUGGCAAGUCGGGCAUGAAAUCUCUCGGCUCAACCGGGAGAGGUUGUCCGAUACUGCUGGACUUGAGGGCAGUAGAGGGUGGUGGAAUUCCGGGUGUAGUGGUGAAAUGCGUAGAUAUCGGGAGGAACACCUAUGGCGAAGGCAGCUCGCUGGGACGUUACUGACGCUGAGACGCGAAAGCGUGGGGAGCAAACAGG